rnacentral:sRNA from 1 species
UGUUUCCGGAUGUAUCUGCCUUUUUA